rnacentral:rRNA from 1 species
AUUGAACGCUGGCGGCAUGCCUUACACAUGCAAGUCGAACGGCAGCACGGGUGCUUGCCCCUGGUGGCAAGUGGCGAAGGGGUGAGUAAUACAUCGGAACAUGUCCUGUAGUGGGGGAUAGCCCGGCGAAAGCGGGAUUAAUACCGCAUACGAACUACGGAUGAAAGGGGGGGACCUGCGGGCCUCGCGCGAGAGGGUUGGACAAGGGCUGAUUAGGUCGUCGGUGGGUUAAAGGCCUACCAAGGCGACGAGCAGUAGCUGGUCUGAGCAGACGAACAGCAACACUGGGACUGAGACACGGCACCGAAUCCUACGGGAGACCGCAGUGAGCAAUUUUGGACAAUGGGCGAAAGCUUGAUACAGCAAUCCCCCGUGUGUGAAGCAGGCCUUCGGGUUGUAAAGCCCUUUUUUCCGAAAAGAAAGCCUUGACCCUAAUACGGUCGGCGGAUGACGGUACCCGAAGAAUAAGCACCGGCUAACUACGUG